rnacentral:rRNA from 1 species
ACGGGGUGCAGCAGGCGCGAAACCUCUACAAUGCACGAAAGUGUGAUAGGGGGACUCCAAGUGCUCACUUUUGUGAGCUUUUGUCAUGUAUAAAAAGCUUGACGAAUAAGGACUGGGCAAGACCCGUGCCAGCCGCCGCGGUAAUACGGGCAGUUCAAGUGGUGUUCAUUUAUAUUGGGCCUAAAGCGUUCGUAGCUGGUUCAACAAGUCUUUGGUGAAAUCUUACGACUUAAUCGUGAGGAUUGCCAAAGAAACUGUUAAACUCGGAGCCGGGAAGGGUCAGGGGAAUUCACGGGGUAGGAGUAAAAUCCUGUAAUCCUGUGAGGACCAUCGGUGGCGAAGGCGCCUGACUGGAACGGGCUCGACGGUGAGGAACGAAGGCUAGGGGAGCGACCCGGAUUAGAUACCCGGUUAGUCCUAGCAGUAAAUGAUGUUGGUUAGGUGUUGCAUAACUUACGAGGUUGUGCAGUGCCGUAGGAAGCCGUAAACCAACCGCCUGGAAGUACGUCGCAAGAC